rnacentral:rRNA from 1 species
AUUGAACGCUGGCGGCAGGCCUAACACAUGAAAUUCGAGCGAAGAAAGGAGGCUGUUCCUUGACUGAGGCGCGGGCCGGUUGGGUAAGCCCAAGGAACUUCCCUGUUAUUGGGGAAUACGUUCGGGAACGGGCCCCUAUUCCCCAAAAGGCCCGAAGGAGGAAAUGGGGGGUUCUUCGGCCCUACCCCUUUAUGUUGACCCUAGGCGGGAUUAGCUAGUUGGUGGGGUAAGGGCCUACCAAGGCGACGAUCCGUAACUGGUCUGAGAGGAUGAUCAGUCACACUGGAACUGAGACACGGUCCAGACUCCUACGGGAGGCAGCAGUGGGGAAUAUUGGACAAUGGGCGAAAGCCUGAUCCAGCCAUGCCGCGUGUGUGAAGAAGGUCUUCGGAUUGUAAAGCACUUUAAGUUGGGAGGAAGGGCAGUAAGUUAAUACCUUGCUGUUUUGACGUUACCAACAGAAUAAGCACCGGCUAACUUCGUG